rnacentral:rRNA from 1 species
CCUACGGGAGGCAGCAGUGGGGAAUUUUGGACAAUGGGCGCAAGCCUGAUCCAGCAAUGCCGCGUGCAGGAUGAAGGCCUUCGGGUUGUAAACUGCUUUUGUACGGAACGAAACGGUCCUUUCUAAUACAAGGGGCUAAUGACGGUACCGUAAGAAUAAGCACCGGCUAACUACGUGCCAGCAGCCGCGGUAAUACGUAGGGUGCGAGCGUUAAUCGGAAUUACUGGGCGUAAAGCGUGCGCAGGCGGUUAUAUAAGACAGAUGUGAAAUCCCCGGGCUCAACCUGGGACCUGCAUUUGUGACUGUAUAGCUAGAGUACGGUAGAGGGGGAUGGAAUUCCGCGUGUAGCAGUGAAAUGCGUAGAUAUGCGGAGGAACACCGAUGGCGAAGGCAAUCCCCUGGACCUGUACUGACGCUCAUGCACGAAAGCGUGGGGAGCAAACAGGAUUAGAUACCCUGGUAG